AUGAAAUGAGUACUGGUCCAUGUUUCUUUGAACAAAUGAUAAAAAAACAUAGAUAUCUAGUAAGCAUACACUUCUACAGUAUGUUUACAUUUAGGUACCAAGAUGGGAGACUAAAUCAAAUCAAAUUUAUUUAUACAGCAUAUUUGACAAACACAGACCCAAUGUGCCCCAAAAGAAAGGGAGUAAAACAACAAACAUGACCAAACAAUAAAGAUUAGAUAAAUAUAAAAAUAUAGAGAUUAAAAUGCAUAUAAUAUCAAGUGAAUAAAAUACAUUUUCAACUGUGGGUUUGGAAAGUCCAUCAAAUAUUUUGUGUCAUGUGGGGGCAUUGACUAACAAAGUAAACCAGGUUUAGUGCCAUAGACAGUAAAAGAUCGGUGCCCUGUAUGAAGCAAUUCACCACUUGCUCGACGAUGAUGUCACUUUCUCUGAUUGGGCGUAGUAGAUUAGAUCAUUUAUAAUUGGUCCAUUUUUUGCCAUACGUCACAUCGUUCUCCAGAUUUCCUAAUCCUGCAAACCACCACGACAAGUGUCUGUCAUUCCCACGGUAAUUUCACAGGGGUUGCCAUGUGGUUUGUGAGAUGAGACCAAGUUCUCAGAAAAAUAUAUUUUGACUAGCUGCUACACCCGACGAAUUAUUUUCACAGAUUGUGCAGGUAAGAGUUCAGAUGUUCAAUGUAUCUUUGUCUUUAGAAAUGUUGGUAUUGUUGAAUAACAGAAUAUAACCAUCUUGCAUAUGUGAACGUUAGCUAUCGUUAGCCGUUUGGGUAAUCAUUAAUCGAACAGUUAAUGUUAUGCAAUGGUAAUUUAAAUAGGGGCCGCAUUGACCAUUAGCUAGUAUUUAUUCAUGUCGGGGUUAGCUAGCUCACUAAAUCUUAAGGUUGCUGUAUUUCAUCGGAUGGUUUAUGGUCUAAGGUUAAUAAUGUGCAUUUAUCAGGUUGAUGCCACUAACAUAACGACCAUGACUAAGUUAACUUCACCAAAGGAAAUUGACUUGGAAAUAUGUGCGUUCACACCAUCAGAAGGUGCAGUGCAACCAAGACCCCCCAGUACAAGCUGAAGGACACAGAAUGACAAAAUGCCACCCCAAAUUGUCAGAUGGCACAUUUCAUGUUGUAAGAAAAGCCCAAGGACUCAGAACAUGAAGCCAAAGAAGUAGAUGAUGACUUGGCCCAGUGACACCAGAUGGAAAAGCCCAUUGCAGUAGUCAACCCUACUGGAGAUGAAUGCAUCAAUAAGUUAUCUAAAUCAUGUUUUGAAACGUCUA